rnacentral:rRNA from 1 species
CCUACGGGCGGCAGCAGUGGGGAAUAUUGCACAAUGGGCGCAAGCCUGAUGCAGCCAUGCCGCGUGUGUGAAGAAGGCCUUCGGGUUGUAAAGCACUUUCAGCGGGGAGGAAGGCGUUAAGGUUAAUAACCUUGGCGAUUGACGUUACCCGCAGAAGAAGCACCGGCUAACUCCGUGCCAGCAGCCGCGGUAAUACGGAGGGUGCAAGCGUUAAUCGGAAUUACUGGGCGUAAAGCGCACGCAGGCGGUCUGUCAAGUCGGAUGUGAAAUCCCCGGGCUCAACCUGGGAACUGCAUUCGAAACUGGCAGGCUAGAGGCUUGUAGAGGGGGGUAGAAUUCCAGGUGUAGCGGUGAAAUGCGUAGAGAUCUGGAGGAAUACCGGUGGCGAAGGCGGCCCCCUGGACAAAGACUGACGCUCAGGUGCGAAAGCGUGGGGAGCAAACAGGAUUAAAUACCCCGGUAGUC